AGAUAUAACCAGGGUGGUAUUUAAAAAUCAAUCUCAAAAAGGGUGUUGGAGACCAAGUUUUCUGGGAUUUGGAAUAAUGGAGAAAAAUGAACAUUGGUGCAUCCUUCAGAAAGAAUUUCUAAGGUUACCAGAAGAGGAUGAGACAUUCUUUCAGAUUUGGAUUCCACCGAGGUAUAGAGGAAGACUCAGCCGCUCAGUGCAAAGUACUAACUUGACUUUCAGAACUUGAACAUGAACAUUUUAUCAGCCCAGAUGUGGCCCAGUUAUUUUCAAUGAUGGAGACUUCAAGGCAAUCCCUCCAUAAACUGUUUAACAUUUACUAAAGGAUGAGUGAAAAAAAUGCCAGCAUCUGUGCUAUUUUUAACACAGUAUCAAUGUUCUAAUGCCAUAGCCAGAAAUCCUUCUUCCAUUGAUAAUAAACACUUCAAAGGCCAAAUACGAUUUCCCCUGUGCCUCCAUUUCAGUUUAAAAUUUUACUCCCCUCAACUCCGACACUUUCAGGACGUAACCUUUUUCUUCACCCCAGAUUCCGUUCUAAUUCCUUCUUAAUUGUCCAUUCUAGGUUCCAUUUGGAAAGCCAUCUUAACGUGGCCCAGCGUUUAUUUCUAUUUGGUGUCAGUGAAGUGGAAUUUUAGCCAAAUCUCUACCCUAAAGGUUCACCUUGAGCCACUUGACUUUGCUGCUCCUCCAUUUCUUCUAUCUGCUGGAUAAAUCACUAUCAGGAGUAACGCUGUGUCCAUAUAGGACAACCAUUUGAAAUUUAGGUAGCUAUCAUCAACUGCCUUCCUAUAGAAGUUAUCUGUUGACAUGCCCACAAAACACGUUCAUUAUUUUUUAAGUUUUUGUUUGAAGAGGUCUUUAAGCAACCCCCUUUCAAGAGACAUUGUUGCCUUGUCCUGUUUCCGUGUUCUGUUUCGCUUUGGAACGGAUCUGUCGUGACCCAGGUAAGGGCUUGCUUUGAAAGAAAGUGUGUGCAGAACCUCGUCUGGGGAUAGAGCAGUCUGCCCUUGGUGCCAGCAGGGGGCGCCCGCUCUCUUCUCAGUGGAACUUGGUUUGAAAAUCACCCCCAACCAAGCGUGGCACCUGGGCAAAUUCCGACCCCACGUGCCGCCGUGGGAAGGACUUGGAAAGAUCCUAACUGUCCUCUUUCACGGGGCUUGUCGGUGUACAGCUUCCUCCUAGUCAAGGACACUGUGUAGAUUAAAAAUAAAAAUGUCAUGUUAUUCCAUGAUUAAUUUCUCCCUAUAAACACGGGGCUGGAGCCAGCACACCGGGCCCCUGGUGGCACUUUCACUGCAGACUGAUAAAGCCAUGUUUGGGGCAUGAGAGAAUAGCAAUGUGCUUUGUGUUCAGAUAAAGAUCUUCUGCGGCCUUCCCUGAGGGAUGUCUACAGAGGAGUGUGAAAUAGAAGCCAGUGGAAGCUUCUCUGCUAGAUCGCUCUACUGGAAAUGCAGCCCCCACACCCUCCCACUCAGGGUGGGAUUGGGGCGAGGCGAAUGAGACUCUCACCUGGGCACAAAGUCCAAGGCAGGAGCACAUCUGUAAUCAAACAAUAACACAAAGUUUUAAAAAAUCAAAAUUAAUGCAAAAACAUCCAUGAUGAAGAAAACCUCGAAAGUUUAAAUAAAGACGUGAUUUGA